ensembl:rRNA 5S_rRNA 5S ribosomal RNA
GUCUCUGGCUAUGCCACCCUGAAUGUGCCCGAUAUCGUCAGAAGCUCAGCAGGAUCAGACCUGGUUAGUACUUGAAUGGGAGACUAUCUGGGAAUACCAGCUGCUGUAAGCU